UACUCUUUAUGGUGGGCGCAUGAUGUAUGUAUUCGAUGAAAAAUGCAGCGAAAUGCGAUACGUAGUGUGAAUUGCAGAAAUACGUAAAUAAUUGAAUAUUUGAACGCAUAUUGCGCUCGAUGCUUCGGCCAAGAGCAUGUUUGCCUCAGUAUCG
rnacentral:rRNA from 1 species